rnacentral:lncRNA from 1 species
ACAGGUUGGGAGGGGACAUUAGGCACAAUCCUGGAAUCCUGGGUUACACAGUGCUGAGAGCUCACGAAAGGGACAAAGAACUCACAUGGAAGGUUAAAGGAAAACAAAGUCAAGGGCGGCGUCCAGGGAGGCAAAUUAGCAGAUUCAAUGUGUUGACUCCAUGUGCCUGCUCUCCCCAUGGUGGUCCCCUCGGAGAAACAGCUGGGUAUGGGCCUCAGAGAGCUGUGUGCAGAUUCCUGCCCUGCCUCUUGGAGCAAAUUGCUCACCUGCUCUGAGCUCUAGGUCCCUCCCCAGUGCAAUGAGCAUGGCUGAAAAGGCUCAGAGCCUGGGGGCGAUGGGUGUGGCUGAUUAUAAGGAGACCAGGUCAUUCCAAACAGAAAAAAAAAAAAAUCAGUAUGGACAAGACUUUCAUGACUUUCCUGGACCAAAGAUAGAAAAAUCUGGACAAGAGUUCUUUGCUGAAGCCAGCCUGGACAAUGGCAGAAACGUCGUUUCUAAUGACAUCACCAUGAAGAGCACCAUCUGUGUGAAUACCAGGGUGGGGAUGCCACCAACCUCGGCUGUCCAGAGCCCCUGCACCGGAAGGAGAUACACCCUGGGAGAACGAAAAGGGCACACAGUUCCCAGGAAGUCCUAGAAAGUAGCAUGAGCAGCAGAAAUCUCCAAUUCUGAGGUUACCAAGAUGGCUGAUUAGAAGCAGCCAAUGUGCACCAGUCUCUCAGAGAGGAACGGAAAGGGUGAAUAAAUGCAGCACCUUCAACUGAAACCUCCAGGUACACACACCGGGACUAAUCAAGAAAACAACUCAAUCCACGGAAAAUGGAGAAAAGUAAGGCAGGAC